UAUACAACCGUGUGAAAGCACAACUAUGUUUGUAUUGUUUUAGAAUCACAUCGACUGGAUUCUUCAUUAGAAUGCCUCAAUCUCACGAUUUUUUUAGGUUAUAGUAUUGACUUGUUUCUACUGGUUGAUGAAAAGCCCUUUGAAAUUGGGAUUUGAGGGAUGUUCUGGAGGGAGAUCGUGGCUGUUGUUUAUUUGUCCUCAUUUUGAUUCAUGUUUAUGGGAAUAUUUUAUGUCUUCCUUUAAUGGUUUCUUUUCGACUUGAGAAC
rnacentral:lncRNA from 1 species